AGAGUUUGAUCAUGGCUCAGGACGAACGCUGGCGGCGUGCUUAACACAUGCAAGUCGAGCGGUAAGGCCCUUCGGGGUACACGAGCGGCGAACGGGUGAGUAACACGUGGGUAAUCUGCCCUGCACUCUGGGAUAAGCCCGGGAAACUGGGUCUAAUACCGGAUACGACCUGUCACCGCAUGGUGGUGGGUGGAAAGUUCCGGCGGUGCAGGAUGAACCCGCGGCCUAUCAGCUUGUUGGUGAGGUAAUGGCCUACCAAGGCGACGACGGGUAGCCGGCCUGAGAGGGCGACCGGCCACACUGGGACUGAGACACGGCCCAGACUCCUACGGGAGGCAGCAGUGGGGAAUUUUCCGCAAUGGGCGAAAGCCUGACGGAGUGACGCCGCGUGGGGGACGAAGGCCUUCGGGUUGUAAACCCCUGUCAGAGGGAAAGAAGGGUGUCGGCGCGAUAACCGCCGGCAUUUGACGGUACCUUCAGAGGAAGCCCCGGCCAACUCUGUGCCAGCAGCCGCGGUAAUAC
rnacentral:rRNA from 1 species